UGGGUAACCUGCCUCAAAGAGGGGAAUAGCCUCCCGAAAGGGAGAUUAAUACCGCAUAAUAUGUUUAAGUCGCAUGACUUUAACAUCAAAGGAUUUUCUUUUAGAAAUUCCACUUUGAGAUGGACCCGCGGCGCAUCAGCUUGUUGGUGGGGUAAUGGCCUACCAAGGCGACGACGGGUAGCUGGUCCGAGAGGAUGACCAGCCACAUUGGGACUGAGAUACGGCCCAGACUCCUACGGGAGCAG
rnacentral:rRNA from 1 species